rnacentral:rRNA from 1 species
AGAGUUUGAUCAUGGCUCAGAUUGAACGCUGGCGGCAUGCCUUACACAUGCAAGUCGAACGGCAGCGCGGGAGCAAUCCUGGCGGCGAGUGGCGAACGGGUGAGUAAUACAUCGGAACGUGUCCUGUAGUGGGGGAUAGCCCGGCGAAAGCCGGAUUAAUACCGCAUACGAUCUACGGAUGAAAGCGGGGGACCUUCGGGCCUCGCGCUAUAGGGGCGGCCGAUGGCGGAUUAGCUAGUUGGUGGGGUAAAGGCCUACCAAGGCGACGAUCCGUAGCUGGUCUGAGAGGACGACCAGCCACACUGGGACUGAGACACGGCCCAGACUCCUACGGGAGGCAGCAGUGGGGAAUUUUGGACAAUGGGGGCAACCCUGAUCCAGCAAUGCCGCGUGUGUGAAGAAGGCCUUCGGGUUGUAAAGCACUUUUGUCCGGGAAGAAAUCCUUCGAGAUAAUACCUUGAGGGGAUGACGGUACCGGAAGAAUAAGCACCGGCUAACUACGUGCCAGCAGCCGCGGUAAUACGUAGGGUGCGAGCGUUAAUCGGAAUUACUGGGCGUAAAGCGUGCGCAGGCGGUGAUGUAAGACCGAUGUGAAAUCCCCGGGCUUAACCUGGGAACUGCAUUGGUGACUGCAUCGCUGGAGUAUGGCAGAGGGGGGUGGAAUUCCACGUAGCAGUGAAAUGCGUAGAGAUGUGGAGGAACACCGAUGGCGAAGGCAGCCCCCUGGGCCAAUACUGACGCUCAUGCACGAAAGCGUGGGGAGCAAACAGGAUUAGAUACCCCGGUAGUCC